GGUGAUUCUCAUCACUAUUUCUUGUAUUUUUGAUUGUUCAGUGAUUUUCUUUUAAUUCUAGCAUGUCUUCAAUUGUUUACCUCUAGUUAUCAGACAUAAUGCCAGUGGCAUAGAGUGAAUGUGUUUGUAUGAAUGGAUUCUUAUUUCCAGGCAAACUGCCUCCUCCGGUGCACCUCAGCUGUUGGUUUUUCUCCACUGACGUACUUCCAUUGGUUUUUCCCGAUGGCUGAGGUGCGUCGGUGGUAUGUCUACCCCCACACUUUCUUUCUUGUGGGAGUGGAGAUGUCAGAAUGUUUGGGUUGGGUCUGGUUGGUAUUGCUGACAGCUUCUGUCCC
rnacentral:lncRNA from 1 species